AAUGAACGCUGGCGGCAGGCCUAACACAUGCAAGUCGAACGGAUCCUUCGGGAUUAGUGGCGGACGGGUGAGUAACGCGUGGGAACAUACCCAAAGGUACGGAAUAGCCUCGGGAAACUGGGAGUAAUACCGUAUGUGCCCUUCGGGGAAAGAUUUAUCGCCUUUGGAUUGGCCCGCGUUGGAUUAGGUAGUUGGUGGGGUAAUGGCCUACCAAGCCGACGAUCCAUAGCUGGUUUGAGAGGAUGAUCAGCCACACUGGGACUGAGACACGGCCCAG
rnacentral:rRNA from 1 species